AGAGUUUGAUCCUUGCUCAGGACGAACGCUGGCGGCGUGCUUAACACAUGCAAGUCGAACGAUGAUGCCCAGCUUGCUGGGUGGAUUAGUGGCGAACGGGUGAGUAACACGUGAGUAACCUGCCCCUGACUCUGGGAUAAGCGUUGGAAACGACGUCUAAUACUGGAUAUGAUCACUGGCCGCAUGGUCUGGUGGUGGAAAGAUUUUUUGGUUGGGGAUGGACUCGCGGCCUAUCAGCUUGUUGGUGAGGUAAUGGCUCACCAAGGCGACGACGGGUAGCCGGCCUGAGAGGGUGACCGGCCACACUGGGACUGAGACACGGCCCAGACUCCUACGGGAGGCAGCAGUGGGGAAUAUUGCACAAUGGGCGAAAGCCUGAUGCAGCAACGCCGCGUGAGGGAUGACGGCCUUCGGGUUGUAAACCUCUUUUAGUAGGGAAGAAGCGAAAGUGACGGUACCUGCAGAAAAAGCACCGGCUAACUACGUGCCAGCAGCUGCGGUAAUACGUAGGGUGCAAGCGUUGUCCGGAAUUAUUGGGCGUAAAGAGCUCGUAGGCGGUUUGUCGCGUCUGCUGUGAAAUCCCGAGGCUCAACCUCGGGCUUGCAGUGGGUACGGGCAGACUAGAGUGCGGUAGGGGAGAUUGGAAUUCCUGGUGUAGCGGUGGAAUGCGCAGAUAUCAGGAGGAACACCGAUGGCGAAGGCAGAUCUCUGGGCCGUAACUGACGCUGAGGAGCGAAAGCAUGGGGAGCGAACAGGAUUAGAUACCCUGGUAGUCCAUGCCGUAAACGUUGGGCGCUAGAUGUAGGGACCUUUCCACGGUUUCUGUGUCGUAGCUAACGCAUUAAGCGCCCCGCCUGGGGAGUACGGCCGCAAGGCUAAAACUCAAAGGAAUUGACGGGGGCCCGCACAAGCGGCGGAGCAUGCGGAUUAAUUCGAUGCAACGCGAAGAACCUUACCAAGGCUUGACAUACACCGGAAACGGCCAGAGAUGGUCGCCCCCUUGUGGUCGGUGUACAGGUGGUGCAUGGUUGUCGUCAGCUCGUGUCGUGAGAUGUUGGGUUAAGUCCCGCAACGAGCGCAACCCUCGUUCUAUGUUGCCAGCGGGUUAUGCCGGGGACUCAUAGGAGACUGCCGGGGUCAACUCGGAGGAAGGUGGGGAUGACGUCAAAUCAUCAUGCCCCUUAUGUCUUGGGCUUCACGCAUGCUACAAUGGCCGGUACAAAGGGCUGCGAUACCGUAAGGUGGAGCGAAUCCCAAAAAGCCGGUCUCAGUUCGGAUUGAGGUCUGCAACUCGACCUCAUGAAGUCGGAGUCGCUAGUAAUCGCAGAUCAGCAACGCUGCGGUGAAUACGUUCCCGGGCCUUGUACACACCGCCCGUCAAGUCAUGAAAGUCGGUAACACCCGAAGCCGGUGGCCUAACCCUUGUGGAAGGAGCCGUCGAAGGUGGGAUCGGUGAUUAGGACUAAGUCGUAACAAGGUAGCCGUACCGGAAGGUGCGGCUGGAUCACCUCCUUAAGCUUGGAUCCCGGG
rnacentral:rRNA from 1 species